AUCCCAUGAUGAGGACAGGCGGCUACGUACUCUUGCAGUCGUUCCGAUGCUUCGGGAAUGGACUCGUCCUUUGUUUGCUGGAAACUUGAAAUUCGUCCACAAAGGGC
rfam:Oryza glaberrima chromosome 4 Oglab04_0112_10, whole genome shotgun sequence.